GCUGUAGCUCAGAGGCAGAGCAGCUGGUCUGAAUGCAGAACAGCCCAGGUUCAAUCCCAGGCAUCUGCA